rnacentral:rRNA from 1 species
CCUACGGGAGGCAGCAGUGGGGAAUAUUGGACAAUGGGGGAAACCCUGAUCCAGCAAUGCCGCGUGAGUGAUGAAGGCCUUAGGGUCGUAAAGCUCUUUUACCAGGGAUGAUAAUGACAGUACCUGGAGAAUAAGCUCCGGCUAACUCCGUGCCAGCAGCCGCGGUAAUACGGAGGGAGCUAGCGUUGUUCGGAAUUACUGGGCGUAAAGCGUGCGUAGGCGGUUAUUCAAGUCAGAGGUGAAAGCCCGGGGCUCAACCCCGGAACGGCCUUUGAAACUAGAUAACUAGAAUCUUGGAGAGGUCAGUGGAAUUCCGAGUGUAGAGGUGAAAUUCGUAGAUAUUCGGAAGAACACCAGUGGCGAAGGCGACUGACUGGACAAGUAUUGACGCUGAGGUACGAAAGCGUGGGGAGCAAACAGGAUUAGAUACCCUGGUAGUCCACGCCGUAAACGAUGAUAACUAGCUGUCCGGACACUUGGUGUUUGGGUGGCGCAGCGUACGACAUUAAGUUAUUCCGCCGUCGGGUAGGUACGGUCGCGAAGAAUUAAAACGUUAAAAGGUAAAGUUAGUACGGCGUGAGACGUCGCCGAACGGACGACGACGAGGGAGUAGG